UUUGGAACGUGUGGGUGUUCCAUAAUACAAAUUUAUAACAAACCAUCUGCUCAAGCGUGUUUUUUUUUAAUUUACAAUAUUUACCUCGAACUUCGAUUCCUAAGUACUCCCGGCUUCACCAGUAGCCGAUACAUCAUUAAUUAAAUAAAUUAUAACAACGUUUCCACAUGUUUCCGAUAUUAACACUCAGAAGAUAAAGACGUCUGAUUGUUUAUUAUUGACAACUUCAUCAAUUAAUUUGAAGGCGAAACAGUAUGACUGAUCGGGGGUCCAAAUAUUUAAAUAGCAUUAAAUAUUAGUUAUCCAUCAGGAGAGUUAUCGCAAAUAUGCAAACACUCGAUAAGACUAUUGUGACAGAUGUUUUAAUUUUAAUUAUCUUCUUACAAAUUGAUAAACAGACAUAUUUGAUUGUUGCAAUAUUGUUAUGGAUGUAAUACAUGUUUAAUGAAUAAGUUAGAAUGUUAACUUUUAAUGUUUUGUAAAGAGUGCUAUGUUGGCUGUAUCCUCCAGUCCGGAGGCGGCGCCGCGGAUAUUUUUAUAACGUGACGCGCUUUUGAACGAUUAUGUCCGCACAUGUUUGAAUGUCGGCCACUAAAUGUGAGCCGAGCACAAAGAUCGCUACUUUCCACAGUUCUAAUUAUGUGCUACUAAAUUUCAACUCAAAUAUUCUAAUAUAAAUGCUUUACACUCGGAGCGCGCCAAGGUCCGCGCCCGUGCCAGCGAUGACGCCAUCUUUAACUCGGCCCAGCUGUUUAUAUACACACCAUACAUUAUGUAUAUUGAAUUUAUUUAUUACAUUCAAAUGCUUAUAAAUCUCUAUUUUUUCUAUUAUUAGAUUUUUUCAUUUUUCUUUUCAAUGAGAGUCUUGGUAAUUUCAUGUAAAACCUCGCAAUUAUUUUUGGACUGAACAGUUUCCACAGCAUUAUACUAUAAGGGGUGUAGAGUAAAUGAAAACCUUUAUUGUUUUAAUCUUUUAUUACAUUAUUUUCAACAGCAAUUAUAAGUAGUAAUCUUUAUAGAGAACUGUCUCAUCUACAAAACAUUCUUUACUCUUGCCAGACGACACUAUCAAGUCUUGAACAAGUCAACAGAGUGAACCUAGAACUCACAAUUACUGUCAACUGAUAUUUACACAACAUUUAUAAUAUAUUUACAGCUUAAGAAAUUAAAUAAUACACACAGACAGCAUCACAGUCCCCCAUACUAAAACGCAUGAGGAACCUCUCACUCAAGACUCAGUACUGUCUACAUGAUCCACCAGCUCUACCAGACAGUACAUUUAAUGAUAAGGCUGUGACUUCCCUCAGCCCGUGACUACUAUAACUGAAAGCCUAGUUGGAAUGUCCCAUUGUAACAUUGAGCAUUUCAUCCCCACAGUCCAGUUCAGAUGUGUGGUCGUUAUACUCCUACGUUGCUAAUGAGAUUUCCACUUGUCUCCGAUCCUAGUUAGGUAGGGUGUCCAUGAGUAUUUCUUUCACUCCAGAAUUGAGACGGUCAGGGAA